UGCCACGGUCGCCUGAGCUAAGUGAUGAACUGACUAAAAAGGCGCAGCGUUCUGCGCCUUUUUU
rnacentral:sRNA from 1 species